ensembl:lncRNA novel transcript
GACCCAGCUCCAGGAACACGAAGGCAAGGACAGUAGCCUUCAGUCUCGACCCCAGAGCUUGGCACCCCAGAACCUGGGCUCCCCAAAGCAAGACCAGGGCCCCCACAUUGUGCGCCAAAGUGCGGGGUGGAGAAUGCCCACAGCCCAAGGGCCCCCAGGCUGAAGGCAGGAGACUGGGGCUGCUGGAGAAGUUGCCCAGGCUGAGGGGCCGUGCCUGGCAGGGACAUGGGGCUGCUGCUGCUGCUGCUCCCAGGCUGGGGCUGUGCUGCAGGCUCCGAGCUGGCCUUCGUGCAGGAGCUGGGGGACACAGUGGCUGUGUGGGAGCACCCACUGGUGCUGCCCUGCCAGGUGGAGGGUGAGCCGCCUGUGUCCAUUUCCUGGCAGCGGGAUAGGCUGGCCUUAGCCAAUGAGAGUGGUGUCACCCUGAUGCCAGAUGGCUCCCUGCACCUGGCCGCCCUGCCUUCCCGCCGGAGCCUCCCUUCCCGUGCCCACGAGUACCACUGCGUGGCCCAGAACCGCUACGGGCGGCUGGUGAGCCGACAGGCCCGGGUACAGCUGGCAAGUCUGUCCCGCUUCCACCAACAUCCAGAAUCCAUUGAGGUGGAGCGGGGUGGAGUUGCUCGCUUCCAGUGCCUGAUCCAGGGGGUGCCUGAGCCAUCC